GUGGAUGUGGCGCAGCUGGUAACGCGUUUCGUUGCCAACGAGAAGGCCGCGGGUUCGAUCCCCCCGUCAUCCGCA
rnacentral:tRNA from 1 species